CCAAAGGCAGGUGUGGUAGUUGAAGCUCCAAAACCUGAAGUGGUGGAAGUUCCAAAAGCUCCACCAGUUCCAAACAACGGGGAACUGGUAAAUGUAGUUCCUGUGCUACCAAAACCAGGAGUCGCCGUUGAGCCAAAGGCUGGGGUGGUGCUUGGGGUGCCAAAGGCUGGGGCGGAGCUUGGGGCGCCAAAGGCUGGGGCGGUGCUUGUGGAGCCAAAGGCUGGAGUGGUGCUUGUGGAGCCAAAGGCUGGAGUGGUGCUUGUGGCGCCAAAGGCUUGAGUGGUGUUUGUGGAACCAAAGGGUGGAGUGUUUGUAGCGCCAAAGGCUGGAGUACUUGUAGCGCCAAAUGCAGACUGAGUUGGUGCACCAAAAGGUGUGGAACCGAAUAAACUAUUCCCAAAAGCUGGUUGUGACUGCUGAUU
rnacentral:lncRNA from 1 species